rnacentral:rRNA from 1 species
GACAGAGGGUGCAAACGUUGUUCGGAAUUACUGGGCGUAAAGCGUGCGCAGGCGGUUCGUUGUGUCGGUGGUGAAAUCCCCGGGCUUAACCUGGGAAUGGCCAUGGAAACUGGCGAACUGGAGUGCGGCAGAGGGGGGUGGAAUUCCGCGUGUAGCAGUGAAAUGCGUAGAGAUGCGGAGGAACACCGAUGGCGAAGGCAGCCCCCUGGGCUAGCACUGACGCCUCAGGCACGAAAGCGUGGGGAGCAAACAGG